rnacentral:rRNA from 1 species
UACGGGAGGCAGCAGUGGGGAAUAUUGCACAAUGGGGGAAACCCUGAUGCAGCCAUGCCGCGUGUGUGAAGAAGGCCUUCGGGUUGUAAAGCACUUUCAGUUGUGAGGAAGGUGGUGUCGUUAAUAGCGGCAUCAUUUGACGUUAGCAACAGAAGAAGCACCGGCUAACUCCGUGCCAGCAGCCGCGGUAAUACGGAGGGUGCGAGCGUUAAUCGGAAUUACUGGGCGUAAAGCGCAUGCAGGUGGUUUGUUAAGUCAGAUGUGAAAGCCCGGGGCUCAACCUCGGAACUGCAUUUGAAACUGGCAGGCUAGAGUCUUGUAGAGGGGGUAGAAUUUCAGGUGUAGCGGUGAAAUGCGUAGAGAUCUGAAGGAAUACCAGUGGCGAAGGCGGCCCCCUGGACAAAGACUGACGCUCAGAUGCGAAAGCGUGGGGAGCAAACAGGAUUAGAUACCCUGUAG